UAUAUAUAUGUAUAUAUCAUCACUUUGCAAAAUUUUCUAGAGAGACUUGACUGAUUCAAGGAUUCUAUGAUUGAAACCAAAUGUACAGGGCAUGUGAUGAAAUUGGUGUGCCUAUGCCCAGUAAAGCGUUGGUUAACACCGGCGACCACGUUCUCUUCCUCAUCUUCCUCCAAGUUGAUUUGAGCCUCAAUUUGCUCUUUUUCUGAUGAAUUCGAGCCACCCAACGGAGAUUCCUUUGUUGAAUCCUUCGAUUUUGAGGUUGGGUUUCGCCAUCGACAAUAGAUUCGUGGGAAGCGAGUAUUUGUAGAGAGAGAAAGAGAGACAUAGGAGAGAGAGGAGUUCUCGGAAGUGGCGAUGAUGGAGGUGGUUGUCGGAAAUGGCGAUGGUGGCGGUGGUCGUCGACAACGAGGGUCUGCGCUUUCGGUUUUUUUAUUUUUUUAUUUUUUUUUUUCUUUUUCUUUCUAUAUUGAUUUGGGUAUAUUGUUGAUGAUGUGUAUGAGAGAAGAGAGAGAUGGUUUGUGGCAGUGGCUAUGGUGGGAGGAGGUAGCAGUGGCAAUGACCAUGGUGAGGAGGUGGUAGGUGGAGGAGAUGGGUGAUACGGCUGAUGACUAGUUAGAAUUUUUUUUUUUUUUUUUGUUUUUUAAAAAAAAAUGCUAUAGUAUAAAAAGUAAUUUUCAUAAACAGUGUAGAAAAUAAAAAAAAGUGAGAAUUUGAUUUCUCACUUUCCCUUCUCUUUAUAAAUUUAGAAAAUACUUUCUUAAAACAAAAAAAUAAAAAUAUUUUAUUAAACUUACUUUUGAUUCUCAAUUUUAGAAAUUCAUAGUAAAAUCAUUCGUGUAGUAAACAGGCCUUACAGAACACAAACAUAUAUGUCAAAAGCUGGUCGCCCCUUUCUCGAUCUAGAUCACUAUUCGGAGGCAGCAACGCAGGAAGAAGCUCCACCGCCGCUUGCUGCCGAGGAGAAGCCGCCUGAGAAGAAAGAAGAUAAGAAAGCAGAGCAAGGAGAUGAAAAGAAAGCCGGCCACCCCCUUUCUCUCAGACCGUCCAAGCCGUCAUUCCUCUUUCUCUCCAAGCCUAACCCUUCUACCAAAGCCACUGAGGGUUGAAUCGACGGUUAGCGCAGCGUUGAGCAGAGAAGAUAGCGGCACAGCUGAUCGGCGUCAAGAUUGAACAAGGAUUCGCUCCUUUCUCCAAUCCCUAACCCUAGCUCCCUUUCUCAUUCGAAGCCCUAAAUUCGAAGGACACGAAUUGAGAUUUGUAUUUUCAUCCCCUGUUAUAUUCAUCAAAUUAAUACUCAAAUUGGUAUGGUAUGGGAUUCGCCCUAUACUUCUAACAAAGACAGUUGUUAAUUUGGUGGGUUAUAUAUAUAUAUAUAUAUAUUCGUUGCAAAGCUGCAGUGGCAUGGGAAGCUGGGAAGCCACUGGUGAUCGAAGAAGUGGAGGUUGCGCCCCCACAAAAAAUGGAAGUUCGUUUGAGGAUCCUCUUCACUUCCCUAUGUCACAUUGAUGUCGAUCUACUUCUGGGAAGCCAAGCUGUCCCGUAUCUGAAAACCCAAGCUUAGAUUCGCAGUGUAGUGUAUAAAUCAGUUUUUCCUGUAUUCGUCAGUACCAGGCUUAGAGCUUGAUCGUGAUGAAGCAGAUACAGUCACUCACUCUUCCAACUACGUAGGACUUCCUUUCAUGUUAUAGUUUGGAUGUUGGUUCUGUAAUUUAUGUUCAUUUGAAAUUAUUAGGGGUCCACUAGAUGAAUUCCCAAGUUGUACGGAUUGGAAAGAUUAAAAUUAUAUUAAUUUAUUAUUUUGGAGGAUGUUUAUAUUUAGAA